rnacentral:rRNA from 1 species
GACAGUCAGAGCGAACAGAUAAGGAGCUUGCUCCUUUGACGUUAGCGGCGGACGGGUGAGUAACACGUGGGUAACCUACCUAUAAGACUGGAAUAACUCCGGGAAACCGGGGCUAAUGCCGGAUAACAUUUAGAACCGCAUGGUUCUAAAGUGAAAGAUGGUUUUGCUAUCACUUAUAGAUGGACCCGCGCCGUAUUAGCUAGUUGGUAAGGUAACGGCUUACCAAGGCAACGAUACGUAGCCGACCUGAGAGGGUGAUCGGCCACACUGGAACUGAGACACGGUCCAGACUCCUACGGGAGGCAGCAGUAGGGAAUCUUCCGCAAUGGGCGAAAGCCUGACGGAGCAACGCCGCGUGAGUGAUGAAGGUCUUCGGAUCGUAAAACUCUGUUAUUAGGGAAGAACAAAUGUGUAAGUAACUAUGCACGUCUUGACGGUACCUAAUCAGAAAGCCACGGCUAACUACGUGCCAGCAGCCGCGGUAAUACGUAGGUGGCAAGCGUUAUCCGGAAUUAUUGGGCGUAAAGCGCGCGUAGGCGGUUUCUUAAGUCUGAUGUGAAAGCCCACGGCUCAACCGUGGAGGGUCAUUGGAAACUGGGAAACUUGAGUGCAGAAGAGGAAAGUGGAAUUCCAUGUGUAGCGGUGAAAUGCGCAGAGAUAUGGAGGAACACCAGUGGCGAAGCGACUUUCUGGUCUGUAACUGACGCUGAUGUGCGAAAGCGUGGGGAUCAACAGAUUAGAUACCCUGGUAGUCCACGCC